rnacentral:lncRNA from 1 species
CGCCGCCUCCGCCGACCAGCGAGAGCGACGAACUAGAGCGGCGCCGCGUGGCACCUCCGCCUACCAUAGAGCCGGGGGCUGCGCGGGCCCUCCGUGCGCCGCUGAGAGGUUGCUAGAGGGGACCCCCGGCCCGCGGCGCCCCCGGGGUGCGGCAGCCCCACAAAUCCGCGCCGAGCUACGCCCUGGAGCGGGCAGCCGGGCCUCGUCCCCGUCUCCCCGAGCCCGUUCCCCCGCAGCGGUUGACUCGCGGCCAGGCCGCCGCGCCGGGGUCAGGCGGGAACGCUGACGGAACGGGGAUCGGGGCCGCCUGCCCACCGCCUCCUGCUGACACCCCCAGCCACGGUGCGGCACUCCAGGGAGCGGAGAACAUCCGCACGGCAUCGGGAUCGACCGCCGGGCCUCCAUUAGGAGGCUGAUGGAGCCGUAACAGGAUUAGGGAGGCCGCAGGAGGGGCUCGGGCUGCUAAUGGAUGGGCUGCGAGUGAGCUCAGCCCCUGGCUGCGGUUCAAGGAGGACGAGGCGAUGCCGGCAGAAAGGCGAUGCCGGGAGAAAGGCGUCCCAGCACCGCGUGCCCCUGAGGAAGGGGAGCCCAGCCCACCCCUGAGGAAGGGGAGCCCAGCCCACCCCCGGCCUCCGCACCCACACGCACUCCCGCCGCGGGUGUUUUUUAUUCAAUCCGAGUUGCCAUGUGAACGGACCCAACAUACAAAAAGAAAAAAGAGACCGAAACAAACCCGAGUAUUUAAAAAAAAUAAAUUGAUGAGAAACAGGGCAGAGGUGUGGGACCGAGGCUCCUCCUGGGCCUCCCCUCCACGGGGCCUCGCUCUGUAGCCAGGCACUGAGGGGAAAGGGCUCAGGCAGUGAGGCCGGGCACCCUCCUGCCCCGACUCCAGCGCCCCCCCUCACCUGGCAGCAGGGGCAGGAGGAAGGGCGGCCAGGCAGGUUUGGAGCCAGCCAGAGCCCAAGAGCCAGGCCCCUCCUGCGGGCCGGCCCACCCGGUCCUCACGCUGAUCUGGGAACCAGCCUGGAGCCAGCGGGGACAGCACUAAUCCGAGCCGGACGCGGAAUCCUCUGAGCUUUGGGCCGGGCUGGCGCCUCUCUCAUCCUCUGAGUCCUCCUUCUUGCUCUCUGCAGAGGAACUCUCAUCGCUGGAGACAAAUUCCUUGCUCUUGAAGCUCUCGCUCAUAGUCUUGGCAGAGGACUUGGUGGAGGACGAAGACUUGGAGGCAGCACCCUUCUUCUCCCCUUUCCCCUUCAUCUGCUUCUCCUGCUUCUUCUUCUUCUUUUUAGACCUCUCCAUCUUGGAGCUCUCUGACUUGUUGCCCACGCUGUACUCCUUCAUGGCCUUCUCAUAAUCCCUCUUGGCAUCUUCUGCCUUGCGAUCCCAUUCCUCUUUCUUCUCCUUAGACAUGGCUUUCCAGAGCUCCCCAGCCUUCUUGGACAAGUCUGUGAUGCUGAUACCAGGAUGAUCUGACUUGAUCUUCUCACGGUUGGCAUUCAGCCAAAGCAUGUAAGCCGACAUGGGUCUCUUGGGCGCGUUGGGGUCUUUGCCUUUCUUGCUCUCCACCUGCUUCUUGCGGGGCUUGCGGUCUUUGACAAUCUUGGCCUUCUUGGCUGGCUUCUUCUCACCUCGGUCACUGUCACCAUCCCCACUGGAGGAGCUGGCCGAGGCAUUGCUGUCAAACUCUUCAGCCACAUCGUCAUCCUCUUCCCCAGGGUUGAAUGACUCAUCUGUCUCCUCUCCAGAUCCAUCGCUGCUAUCGUUGGCGUUCUCUUCCCGGAUCUUGCCCUCCUCCUUCAUCCUCUCCAGGUAGGCGUCAUGCUGGUCCUCAUCAGAGUCCGCAUAUUCAUCAUAGCUCUGCUUCAUACCCUCCUUGAGGCCUCUGUUCUUGAUGUUCAGCUUCUUGGCAUUGACGAAAUCAAAGAGCUUCCCAUACUCCUCCCUCUCUAUGCUGCUGAAGGUGUACUGUGUGCCCUGCUUGGUCUCGAUCUCAAAGUCGAAGGAGCGGGUGGUGGUGGUCCCACGGGCAAAGUUGACGAAGGAGAUCUCAUCAAAGCGGAUGUGCACUGGUGGCUUGUGAACAUAGAUGAAACCUCGCUCCAGUGGGUACAGAAGUCCUGAGCUGGCCUUGUAGGAGCAGGUGAUGCACUGGGCUCCAGAGUGUCCCUGGAAGUUGCCAGGCACAGUGAUCUUGCGGUUCACUAGUGCCUUCAUAACCCGGCUGACCAUCUCGUAGAGGGAGCCUGACAUGUUCUUGGUGAGCCGCCCCUCAAAGCGUUUCUCCACCUCUUCCUCAUUCAUGUUGAGGGUCAGUGAGAUGUCUUCAUCCUUGGAGAAAAGCAGGAUAAGGAAGUGGUAGCGGGUCUGGCCCUGCUUUAUCGGGGGAUCCAAGCUAAUCACAAAGAACAUCUGCCGUUGGUCCUUGUGUGGGAGCAGGAAGAGGCGCAGCACGGUAGUAUAGGGAAUCUUGUAGUCAAAGGUUUUGCCGUGGAGGUGCAGGAAGGUGGGGUAGAUGCGGAUGUCGUAUCGCCCACGAGGCGUCAAACACUGCAGCUCCCGGAAGAUGCAGAUGGCAUCACCAGUUGCCUGGAUCACGUCCGCCUUGGAGAGGACAUUCUGAGCGAAGGCCUCCACAGGGUCAACACCAUCCUCCUGGGUAGGGGGCACGUAGAAGCGAACCUCCAUGAGCGAGACCUCAGCGUCAUCGUUCUGGUGGAACUCCAGCGUCACUUCGUUCUUGCCCGUCGUGCACUGGGAGACAUUGCUGAGGGGGAUCUCAAACACCGGCUGUUCCCCGAUGUCAAAGGAGAGAAGCUGCCCUCCAAACCUCACUGUGCCCCAGUUCCAACCCUUCACACACAGGUCCUUCUCGGCCAGCUCCAGGCGAUAAUGUGCCUUGAAGAAAUCUGAGAGCUUAUCAAACUCCGAUUCCCGGAAACCAUCGUAUUUGUAGACAUGGCCAUUCUUGGUGAGAAGCUUGAGGCCGUGACCGAGCGCCACACGCCGCCACACACCCUCUGCCAACUCCGAGGCCUGGAUGUUGUCCACCUUCCCCGUCUUGCUGUUCUUGAAGAUGACGCCCUGGCGGCUCAGCCGCAGCCGGCCAUCGUUCAUGGAUCCCUUCACCUCCUGGUAGAUCUCGUUGAACUCCAAUGUGUCAGCCAUGACGAAGGGGGCCGGGCUCGCAGGCAGGCAGGAGGAGGCCGGAGUUCAGCUCCCCGCCGAGGCCGGCAUGCCCUGCUGCCACCGAGCAGCGAGGUGCUCGCGCGAAGCCGCCUCCCCCCCCCAACCGCCUCCCGCGCCGCCGCCGGAACCCGCCCCCACUUCCGCCAUAGAGACGCGCCGCUGCCCGGCCUCUCUGGGCGCCAUCGCGGGGGGAGGGAGGACCCGGCCGCACCAGCACGGGCCUCACGAUGGAGCGCCGUGGAGGACUGAGGCUAAAGGGGAGCGGCGCCUUCCUCGGCGUAGACGCAGAGGGGUGGAAGGGGGGCAGGCUAGAGCGGCCGCUCCCCGAAGCGGCGGUCUCUCUCACCUGGCACCAUAGAGAGGCGGGAGGCCUCCAGCCGGGAAGUGGGGGGGCUGCUCCCCAUUGGCCAACGCCGGGUGAUCCCCAUGACGUCACCGCGGCGGGGGAUCAGGGCGGCUCUGCCCAGCACAUGGCGCCCCGACAUGGGGUACAGCCCAAAAAAGGCACUCCGAAGUGGGGCACAUCCCAACAUGUGCACACCCCUCCGGAAGGGGAAGCCCUCAAAAAGGGCACACCGAUGUGGGACGCCGCCAAACGCCGUGAGCUGGCAAACACGGGGUCCGCAAACACAGAGGACACCCAGAAUGGGAUCACCCCGAGUUGUGGGGCACCCCUAAAAACGACAGUCACGCACACAGCGCCCCCAGCACGGCGGGCUCCCGAAACGGAGGCAGCCCAAGUGCCGGGGGCCCAAAGCACCCCCCAGGGCACCCCAGAGGGGGCUACCCCACGUAGGAUGGCCGCAUUGGGGCCCUCCUCGAGGCCGCCUCUCGCACCCCUCCCCCCACCCGCGUCCUCCCUCCCCUCCUCCUCCUCCUUCCACCCACGCCCCCUCCCUCCAUCUCCCCCUGCGCC